GAUGAACGCUGGCGGCGUGCCUAAUACAUGCAAGUCGAGCGAAUGGAUUGAGAGCUUGCUCUUAUGAAGUUAGCGGCGGACGGGUGAGUAACACGUGGGUAACCUGCCCAUAAGACUGGGAUAACUCCGGGAAACCGGGGCUAAUACCGGAUAACAUUUUGAACCGCAUGGUUCGAAAUUGAAAGGCGGCUUCGGCUGUCACUUAUGGAUGGACCCGCGUCGCAUUAGCUAGUUGGUGAGGUAACGGCUCACCAAGGCAAUGAUGCGUAGCCGACCUGAGAGGGUGAGCGGCCACACUGGGACUGAGACACGGCCCAGACUCCUACGGGAGGCAGCAGUAGGGAAUCUUCCGCAAUGGACGAAAGUCUGACGGAGCAACGCCGCGUGAGUGAUGAAGGCUUUCGGGUCGUAAAACUCUGUUGUUAGGGAAGAACAAGUGCUAGUUGAAUAAGCUGGCACCUUGACGGUACCUAACCAGAAAGCCACGGCUAACUACGUGCCAGCCGCCGCAGUAA
rnacentral:rRNA from 1 species